AACUCAAAGGAAUUGGCGGGGAGGCACACAACCAGUGGAACAUGUGGUUCAAUUCGAGACGAACCGAAGAACCUCACCAGGGCUUGACAUGCUACCGUUCACUCGAAAGGAAACUUUCGGGGAUCCGCAAGGAUGGUAGCACAGGUGCUGCAUGGCUGUCGUCAGCUCGUUCCGUGAGGAGUGCCCUUAAGUGGGACAACGAGCGCAACCCCCGUUCUGUGUUAGAAAUGUCACAGAAUACAGCCCCGACGUUACGUCGGGAAGGAAGGAGGGGUAGACGUCAAGUCAGCAUGGCCCUUAUGCCCUGGGCUACACACAUGUUACAAUGGAAAGGACAGCGGGCUUUGCCACACCGUAAGGUGGAGCGAAUCCCUAAAACCUUCCCCAAGUUGGGAUUGAGGUCUGCAACUCGACCUCAUGAACGCGGAAUUGGUAGUAAUCGCGGAUCAGUCAUGCCGCGGUGAAUACGUUCUUGCCUCUUGCACACACCGCCCGUCAAGCCAACAAAGUCGGGGAUGGUUGAACUCCGUCUGUGACGGGGGAAAUCAUUCCCGGCGAUGGGGGUUAAGUCGUAACAAGGUAGC
rnacentral:rRNA from 1 species